AGAGGACCAACACUGCAUUAUUUGAUUGUACUAAAGGCAGUAGUAAUUGUACGUUUUACAAAGGACCAACACUGCAUCUUUGCAUUGUACUAAUGGUAGUACUAAUUGUACAUCAAUAAAUAAAGACACUUUCUCUAGAACUUUCUUCCUAUAAUCAGACAAAUUUGUAACCCUAAUUUCUCGCCUCCUUCCUACAGUGGCACUAUUCUCUCAACUCUUCCUUCUACUUCUGAUCUCUUCAAUGGUGAAUCCGUCUGCUCCUUAGUAUUUCCUCUUUCUCUACACACUUUAAAUCUCUCUCUAAAGCUUUGCUGAAGAUCUCUGUUUGUUUCCGACGAGCUGCGCAGGGUUAAAAUCUGUCUAUCAAGCUUUCCUGAAGAUUUCUGUUUCUUUUGAACAAAUCGCAGUUGCAGUCGCAAGAAAUUUUCCGAAAAAUGAGUACCAAAUUUCAAGUUUCUGUCAGAAUUGUGCCGACCUCUAGAACAAGAAUUGUUUCUUUUUCCUCUUGCGUGUUGUGAUAUUCUUUUGCCUUUUCAAGUUCUUUUCAUAUUUUCCAUUCUCUUUGCAGGUUUGCACUUGCAGCUAUGCAAAUUUUGCAGAUUGUUGACAAAGUUUGGUACUUGCGUGGUUCCUAACAACAUGCAAAGGAUGAUAGAACCAAACCCAGCAAGUUGACUUCCUUCUUGGGUUAUAAGGUUGGGAUGAAUCACAUUGCGAGAGGAUUUCAAAAAUCUGUAUCAACUUAUACAAAAGAAGGCUAAAGGAGGAUGGGAGUAAAAGGACGAACGCUGCAUCUUCUAAUUGUACUCAAGAUCUCAACUCUUCAAUGGCGAAUCCAUGUGUUGCUGAGUGUCUUCUCUUUGUGUAGACACUUUAAAUCUCUGUGUGAAGGUUUUCUCAAGAUUUUUGUUUGUUUGGGAUGCCUUGCCGAAAUAUUUCUUCAUGAUUUAAGGGUUGUUUUGGGUCCUUGUACUUCAUGUACUAUGCUUCAACACAAAAACACAAGAGCAGAAAACCCAGCAUUGUUAAUGCAAGUUCCUCCAUUGUUAAUUUGCCUGGAUUAAUGACUUUUGACGACCAACAAAUGGCAUUGGGUUGCGAGUACGUACACAUUUUCUCCUCUUCUAAGGCUGAAUACAGAUCCAACAAAUGUAUUACCUGUUUUUUCUUGGAAGCAACAUUUAAAUAUAAACAUCAUCAACAAUGAAGAUGUGAAACUAAAAUUUGCUUACUCUUUUUUGGUGUUUAUGAAGGAGAAAGAACUCAACUUUACAUACAGCAACAUGCAAUUUUUUUCCCAAGGUCUUUUAACGUGUCGCACCAACUUUCCUGAACAUUAUGUAUUCAAGCUUUCUGGGCAUAAUUUAUUGAUGACUCAAACACUUGGACCCUAAAUUGAUAUGUGUCUUGCUCUUCUCUUCGAUGAACUACUUGAUUACUUUUAAUCUUUAGGUGUGCUAGAGGAGUGACUCCUUUUUCGUGAGGCUGAUCUUUUCAUUCAUUCAGUGUUCACCUAUGUUGUUCGGUCUCUUCAAAAAUGUCAAUGGGUGCAUGUCGGAUUCUCCAAAAGUAGUGUAUAUUUGGAGAAUCCGACACGGGUGCGACAUCAAAAGUGAAGUGUCUGUGCAACUUAGAUUUCUACAAAGGUGUCAGAAUAGGGUAGAUAAACGAUUUCAAUUUUAAAACGCCUUCAGCUUCAGAACUCCUAUCAAUCUAUAACAUCAUUAUUUUUUGGCUUUCUGGUACUAUGGAGAUAGGCGACACUCCUUUGCUAUUCUCAAUGGGUUAUUUUCUUAUGUCAUUGAAAUCUUUUCUUCUUUCUAAUUCUUUUUUGUACUG